rnacentral:rRNA from 1 species
CAGGUGGUGCAUGGUUGUCGUCAGCUCGUGUCGUGAGAUGUUGGGUUAAGUCCCGCAACGAGCCGCAACCCCUAUUGUUAGUUGCUACGCAAGAGCACUCUAGCGAGACUGCUGUCGCAAGGCAGAGGAAGGUGGGAUGACGUACAAAUCAUCAUCGUCCCUUAUAUCUAGGGCCGCAAACG